rnacentral:misc_RNA from 1 species
UCUUCCCGUCAAACUGACCCAUAGGGCCGAAAAAAGGUCUUCUGCCGCUUCCGACCUGCGCUGCAGCUACGAGAAUCUCCAUGACGCUCAGCUUCACCGAUUAAAAGAGGGGUAGGGAUAGGUUUCCGGCCGACCCCCCUUCCUCUGUUGCACCGUGAGUUAUCAAGAUUCCGCACCUCACGUGCAACAAAGAGAGAGUGAGCUUCUUCUGGUAUGGCGGGAGCAACCGAAAGGGGGGCACAGAUUAGCGGAAAGAGGAUCAAUUGACCUUCUACACGCGCACAUCCACAAGGUUCAGAAUCACGGUACCAACAUCAAUCGCAUUUUCGACGCUUGUAUCUCUGUAUAUCUGCGUCUUGCCUUGCCAGCACUUUGUCUUUCACGCGGUGAAAGUGCUGGUCUUAGAUCAAGCAGACUUCAUCCCGGAAAAUAGUGGUAUUGACAAGCACAUGUACGCAUGAGCCUAUAGGAGAAGCGAGCUCACGCUUGUGACACAGAAACAGACGAACUCAUGCAGAAAGCACAUGCGAGAAUCAUGGACCUGCUUUUCUCAGCUAUUUCAUGAAAAAAGGAACCACAGUUUUGCGAAGUGCAGCCACUUUGAAAAGCAUAUCGGGAACUGCUUGGAGGAAGAAAUGGCAGCGAUGAAGGGGCCAAGGGAGGAUCAUUUCCUCGGCGCUCACAUUGCUUUUGCGUAGAUCAACUUUAGGAUAGAAAGCAUCUUCGGCUUGGAUAAGCGCUGAGAACGCCCUUCAACAGAAAGCCAUUGUUGUCCGCAUUCGCUUAGCAUUAUGGUCCCUUCAGCUGGCUGUCACCUCUACUGAAAUUGUUCGGGCCUUAAACUCUCUAUGCCUCCUCAACUUGACUGCCGACCAGUGACGUAUGACUGCAUGCUUUCCCUCACGCUGUCUCAUGCCUAUCUUUUCCUUGGUACUCCUUAACAG